rnacentral:rRNA from 1 species
AUUGGCGAAUGAGCAGGGAUGAGCUCAGCAUGGAAAUUGGGGCCUUCGGCCUUGACUUGUAAGCUGGUGAGGUAUUGCCAACAGAGGCGCAGAUGUAAGUCUCUUGGAAAAGAGCAUCAAUGAGGGUGAGAGUCCCUGCUUGCCAUCUGCAGCCCCCUGUGCACGGUGUACCUACUAAGAGUCACGUUCCUCGGGAUUGGAGCGCAAAGUGGGUGGUAACUUUCAUCUGAAGCUAAAUAUUGGUUUGAGACCGAUAGGAAACAAGUACCAUGAGGGAAAGGUGAAAAGGACUUUGGAAAGAGAGUUAAAAGUGCCUGAAAUUGCUGAAUGGGAAGCGAAUGGAACCAGUGUUCCUUGGUGAGAUUGUCAUAUGUUAUAAUGAUUGGUUGCUGAUUCAGUGCAAGUGUUCUGGUAAGCAUUGAUCUGUAAGUGUGUGGUGUGUCUUGCCUUGAGUGUCAUCAUGGGCUUCUGCAUUAAGACAAUUCAAAAUUCAGGGUAAUAUGUUCGUGAAGGUAUGAAUGUGCUUUGCUAUGUUUAUGCAGAAGCUUCUGUUUAUGUCUGGCUGCUGUGCUUGCUCCAACCUU